GCAUUCUCUCGGGGUUACGAAAGUUUGGCUUUACCCGCAGUGCUGAUGGCAUAACAUAUAGGGAGUGGGCACCUGGAGCCAAGUGGGCGGCAUUGAUUGGAGAUUUUAACAAGUGGAAUCAAACGCAGAUGUUAUGA